AGGCCUAUGGUGUAAUUGGCAACACACCGGUUUCUGGCACCGAUAUUUGGGGUUCGAGUCCCUAUAGGCCUA
rnacentral:tRNA from 1 species